rnacentral:rRNA from 1 species
AGCGAACGCUGGCGGCAGGCUUAACACAUGCAAGUCGAGCGGGCACUUCGGUGUCAGCGGCAGACGGGUGAGUAACACGUGGGAACGUACCCUUCGGUUCGGAAUAACGCUGGGAAACUAGCGCUAAUACCGGAUACGCCCAUUUGGGGAAAGGUUUACUGCCGAAGGAUCGGCCCGCGUCUGAUUAGCUAGUUGGUGGGGUAAUGGCCUACCAAGGCGACGAUCAGUAGCUGGUCUGAGAGGAUGAUCAGCCACACUGGGACUGAGACACGGCCCAGACUCCUACGGGAGGCAGCAGUGGGGAAUAUUGGACAAUGGGCGCAAGCCUGAUCCAGCCAUGCCGCGUGAGUGAUGAAGGCCUUAGGGUUGUAAAGCUCUUUUGUCCGGGACGAUAAUGACGGUACCGGAAGAAUAAGCCCCGGCUAACUUCGUG